rnacentral:lncRNA from 1 species
UUCUCCCACAUUGAAAAAAACUCUGCUCAUUCGCCACUACCAUAAUUGAAAGCAAUGAAUGCCAUCAAUGCUCAUCCCGCAAAAUCCUUUUCAUCCCUGCCCUUGAAGAAACCUAAUGGCUGCCCAACUAAAGGCACGCCACUUCAUCUUCCCUACCAGUUAAAUCCUUUCCAUCUCAUGGCAGAGGGACAAUCGUGACCCCUCUCAUUCUCUUCCAGUACACACGCUUCCACAUCUUAAGAGAACACUAUAUUUUCAUAAAUUCCCCUAAUCUCUAAAUUAGGGUUUUCUGGUUCCCAAAUCAUCACCAACAAUCAUCCCAAAAAUUUUGAUUAUCGUGUCAUUAUCAAAUACAAUAGUUCUAAGAAGUUCAGAUGGAGAAUCAUCCGAUACUCUUCUCUGGCUUCAUCUUCUCUUCUCUGUGAUUCUGGGCUCCUGCUGCUGAUAUAAAUGGUUUUUAAGGAAACUUGUUUCUUUAAUCCGGCUGAGUGUAGCGAAUCUUCCAUAAGAAUAAAACGGAGAGAAAUCUGAUGAGCAGUUUGUUUGGUGGUCGACUGGUCCAAAUCCAUUCGCUCUCUCGAUUCUCUUCUCUCUCAAUCGUGCGUUAUUCGGGAUAUCUAUCUGGAAUCAAUCAUAUUGCUAUAGUCAAUUGGAGCUUUAUAAGCAUGUGAUUAAGGAAUGCGAAAAGGCGCUUCAAAUUGAUUCUACUCUCCUUCAACCUUAUACCCUAAAAGUGACGUUGUCAAAAAAAAGAAAUAGAGCAUAAAGAGAGCAUAGUGACCAGCUUUGAGAACAUGAGGAAUCUCAAGUUUAAGCAGCUUAGAGAGCAACUCAAAUCCACUAGCAGAUAUAUGUUGCUGGGUACCGGCUCACUUUAGUCCAUUGCUGGUUUGGUAAAAAGAUUUGGUAUUUGGUCCAGAAUCUGCAUGUUACAGGAGUCACAACCUGCAUUCAGAGGGGUUCUUGGUACGGGUUAUACCUAUUCGGAAUUCUUAGUCAGUUUGCAGCUCUCCGAGUUUCCAGUGGCUGGGUGUCGAGCCUAAGUUUGGCCUAUAAUUGCUGGUCCUGGAACUGUUAUUUGCUGGAACGAAAUGGCGCCUAGUUAUCUCACCACGGAAUGCAAAAGAGCGGUAUUUGACCUUCCACAAUGUUACUGCCAUGGUUGGAUUUGGUUACCAGCAGCAGCAGCAUCUGGUUCUUGGAAUGAGGCCGGGUGGUGGUCGUAGGUUUGCACUAGCUGUCUGAUUAGGUCAAAGCCGUGGGACUGGUUCCGUCCAAACAACUUCCAUGCAGCAACAGAUAUGUAAAUGAUGUUUACUAAUUAUAAUACCAUGUUGUCUUACUAUUGAAUUAAUUAAAUAUAAACUCAGUUAUGAUAAAUUAUUAAUUGGGUAGUUUAUUGAUGACAAACAGUAUGUAUUUGGAGCAUAAUUAACUUUCUAUUACAGAUCUUAUAUUGUU